CCCUGGUUAGCUCAGUUGGUAGAGCGCUCCACUGGAAAUGGAGAGGUCCCAAGUUCGAUUCCCGGAUCAGGCG
rfam:Ixodes scapularis strain Wikel colony gcontig_1107729209248, whole genome shotgun sequence.